rnacentral:rRNA from 1 species
UUAGAGUUUGAUCCUGGCUCAGGAUGAACGCUAGCGGCAGGCUUAAUACAUGCAAGUCGAGGGGCAACAGGGGUAGCAAUACCUGCUGGCGACCGGCAAACGGGUGCGGAACACGUACAGAACCUUCCUUUAAGCGGGGAAUAGCCCGGAGAAAUCCGGAUUAAUACCCCAUAGUAAUAUUUGGUGGCAUCACUUGAAUAUUUAAAGAUUUAUCACUUAAAGAUGGCUGUGCGUCUGAUUAGGUAGUUGGUGCGGGUAACGGCCCACCAAGCCAUCGAUCAGUAACUGGUGUGAGAGCACGACCAGUCACACGGGCACUGAGACACGGGCCCGACUCCUACGGGAGGCAGCGGUAAGGAAUAUUGGUCAAUGGACGCAAGUCUGAACCAGCCAUGCCGCGUGAAGGAUGAAGGCCCUCUGGGUUGUAAACUUCUUUUAUCUGGGAAGAAACCACUUUUUUAUAAAGGUGUUGACGGUACCAGAGGAAUAAGCACCGGCUAACUCCGUGCCAGCAGCCGCGGUAAUACGGAGGGUGCAAGCGUUAUCCGGAUUCACUGGGUUUAAAGGGUGCGUAGGUGGGAAUGUAAGUCAGUGGUGAAAUCUCCGUGCUUAACAUGGAAACUGCCAUUGAUACUAUAUUUCUUGAAUCUUCCGGAGGUCAGCGGAAUAUGUCAUGUAGCGGUGAAAUGCUUAGAUAUGACAUAGAACACCAAUUGCGAACGCAGCUGACUACAGGAGCAUUGACACUGAGCACGAAAGCGUGGGGAUCAA